GCGGCGGACCGUGACUGGCGCUGAGGUGGAGCACCACCGGGGAGCGGUCCCGCAUCCGAGUGUCGAGCCGCGCGCCUGGGCGAAGUCG
rnacentral:ncRNA from 2 species